UCCAGUAGUGCCUUAUAGACCAGCUAUGUUUGUUCUGGUAUAAGCUUUCAUGUGCAUGCACACUUUUUCAGGUAUGCACACCAAAGCUUAUACCAGAACAAACUUAGUUGGUCUAUAGGGUGCUACUGGACAAUUUUUUAAAUUUAUUUUUAUUU